rnacentral:lncRNA from 1 species
UCCUGGAAAGACAAACAGUGCCAGACCCAGGACACCCAAGUACUGUUGAGAAGUGCCCAGGAGCACCUUACUAUGCAACGAGUGGUGAGUUUGUAUUGUAGGAUGGUUUUUCUCUUCUCCCUUUUUUUUAAAAAACAAGGAUAGGGUAGGCCAGGUGUGGUGGAUCACUUGAGCUCAGGAGUUCGAGACCAGCCUGGCCAACAUGGUGAAACCCUGUCUCUACUAAAAAUGCAAAAA